rnacentral:rRNA from 1 species
AACUUUCAACAACGGAUCUCUUGGCUCUCGCAUCGAUGAAGAACGCAGCGAAAUGCGAUAAGUAAUGUGAAUUGCAGAAUUCAGUGAAUCAUCGAAUCUUUGAACGCACCUUGCGCCCUUUGGUAUUCCGAAGGGCAUGCCUGUUCGAGUGUCU